GGAGGGUUGACAGAGCGGCCGAAUGUGACGGUCUUGAAAACCGUUGUGCAGUAACCCUGUACCGCGGGUUCGAAUCCCGCACCCUCCG
rnacentral:tRNA from 1 species